rnacentral:rRNA from 1 species
UACGGAGGAUGCAAGCGUUAUCCGGAAUGAUUGGGCGUAAAGCGUCCGCAGGUGGCUAUGUAAGUCUGCUGUUAAAGAGUCUAGCUCAACUAGAUAAGAGCAGUGGAAACUACAUGGCUAGAGUGCGUUCGGGGCAGAGGGAAUUCCUGGUGUAGCGGUGAAAUGCGUAGAGAUCAGGAAGAACACCGGUGGCGAAGGCGCUCUGCUAGGCCGCAACUGACACUGAGGGACGAAAGCUAGGGUAGCAAACGGG